ensembl:lncRNA
GUGUAAUUUAUCUUUGGUUCUCAGAUACUUCAGCGUAAUUUCCUGGAGGGAUAACUCAGAUGAUAAUGGAUGCACGGUUAUGAAAGUUGCGCUGCCUUGUAAUAACAGUCCAAAUGAAAGUGCUAACAUCUGCCAUCAGUUUGAUCUAAAAGAAGAGAAACCCAUAGUUAACCCCAGCAGUGGACCAAUCCAGCUGUACUGAGGAAUGCUGCUUCAACCCAAUGUGAGACAGGACUGGGAGCCGACACGGAGAUAAACGUUGCUGUGCCAACCUUGGUGCUGCCAUCUACACACUGGAAACCUAAAGCCACCUGUGUCCUAGUGAUUCUCUGGGAAGAGGAACAAACCAAGGACUGCCUGUCUUCUGUGCAUCCCUGAUCAGGCCUGCAAGAAGGCAACUAUAACUGAUACAACACAUAAAGGAGAAGCAGGAUGCCUAAAGGAUGUUGUGGAAGUCAGGCUGGGACUGCGAAUCUGCUGGCCUUUUUCCACUGGACACAACAGUAGCCAAGAUGCUAGACCCCUUGGCAUGACACACAGCCAUGGCCUCAGCCCUUACCCAAGGUCACAAGGUGGGCCGGUUCCCUAUGGUGGGCUCUGCACUCACAGCUCUGCAGCCCAGUGUACCAACAGCGCUCAGCUCCCAUGGCGGUGAGAGGCGUUAGCUAAUUAAACCUUCCCUCAUCUGUGGGAGAGAGAGAAAACCACAAUGGAGAAGUGAGCAAAGGGUGCUGUGUUCCUCUAAAAGCAGCCAAGGGCCCUCUCGGAUGGUUUCAGGCUUUGAAG